rnacentral:rRNA from 1 species
GUAGUCGGAUUUCGGGUCGGGCCGAGCGGUCUGCCGAUGGGUAUGUACUGUUUGGCGCGGCCUUCUUUCCGGAGACCGCGGCUACCCUUAACUGAGCGGGCGUGGGAGACGGAUCGUUUACUUUGAAAAAAUCAGAGUGUUUCUAGCAGGCAGCUCGCUCUUGCAUAGGUUAGCAUGGGAUAAUUUAAUAGGACUCUGGUGCUAUUUUGUUGGUUUCGAACACCGGAGUAAUGAUUAAAAGGGGCAGUCAGGGGCACUCGUAUUCCGUCGAGAGAGGUGAAAUUCUCAGACCAAUGGAAGACGAACCACUGCGAAAGCAUUUGCCAGGGAUGUUUUCACUGAUCAAGAACGAAAGUUAGGGGAUCGAAGACGAUCAGAUACCGUCGUAGUCUUAACCAUAAACCAUGCCGACUAGGGAUUGGAGGGUGUUCGUUUCGACCUCUUCAGCACCUUACGGGAAACUAAAGUCUUUGGGUUCCGGGGGGAGUAUGGUCGCAAGGCUGAAACUUAAAGGAAUUGACGGAAGGGCACCACCAGGAGUGGAGCCUGCGGCUUAAUUUGACUCAACACGGGGAAACUUACCAGGUCCAGACAUUGUUAGGAUUGACAGAUUGAAAGCUCUUUCUUGAUUCGAUGGGUGGUGGUGCAUGGCCGUUCUUAGUUGGUGGAGUGAU